GUUUCCGUGUGGUUCCCGGAGGUUGCAGUCAGUUUCCAUGAGUCGCCAGGGGUUUUGGUCACUUGCCUGGAAAGCCUAGACCGAAGGGUGAGCUGCAUCAACUGACCAAAGAUCCACCAUGAUCUUUGCUACCGACCGCAC